rnacentral:rRNA from 1 species
GACGAACGCUGGCGCCGUGCUUAACACAUGCAAGUCGAGCGGUAAGGCCCUUUCGGGGGUACACGAGCGGCGAACGGGUGAGUAACACGUGGGUGACCUGCCUCUAGCUCUGGGAUAAGCCUGGGAAGCUGGGUCUAAUACCGGAUAUGACCUCGCGGUGCAUGUUGCGGGGUGGAAAGCCUUGUGCGGCUAGGGAUGGGCCCGCGGCCUAUCAGCUUGUUGGUGGGGUGAUGGCCUACCAAGGCGACGACGGGUAGCCGGCCUGAGAGGGCGACCGGCCACACUGGGACUGAGACACGGCCCAGACUCCUACGGGAGGCAGCAGUGGGGAAUCUUGCGCAAUGGGCGAAAGCCUGACGCAGCGACGCCGCGUGAGGGAUGACGGCCCUCGGGUUGUAAACCUCUUUCAGCCCUGACGAAGCGAAAGUGACGGUAGGGGCAGAAGAAGCACCGGCCAACUACGUGCCAGCCGCCGCUGU